CUCGCGUGGCGCAGGCGGUAGCGCAUUUCGCUGUUGAUCAAGAGGCCACAGGUUCGCCUCCCGUGCGAUG